GACGAACGCUGGCGGCGUGCCUAAUACAUGCAAGUCGAGCGCAGGAAACUGACGGAACUCUUCGGAGGGAAGGCAGCGGAAUGAGCGGCGGACGGGUGGGUAACACGUAAGGAACCUGCCUCAAGGAUUGGGAUAACUCCGAGAAAUCGGAGCUAAUACCGGAUAGUUCAUCGGACCGCAUGGUCCGCUGAUGAAAGGCGCUCCGGCGUCACCUUGAGAGGGCCUUGCGGUGCAUUAGCUAGUUGGUGGGGUAACGGCCCACCAAGGCGACGAUGCAUAGCCGACCUGAGAGGGUGAUCGGCCACACUGGGACUGAGACACGGCCCAGACUCCUACGGGAGGCAGCAGUAGGGAAUCUUCCACAAUGGACGAAAGUCUGAUGGAGCAACGCCGCGUGAGUGAUGAAGGUUUUCGGAUCGUAAAACUCUGUUGUAGGGGAAGAACACGUACGAGAGGGAAUGCUCGUACCUUGACGGUACCUUACGAGAAAGCCACGGCUAACUACGUGCCAGCCGCCGCGGUAA
rnacentral:rRNA from 1 species